AUACGGAGGAUCCGAGCGUUAUCCGGAUUUAUUGGGUUUAAAGGGUGCGCAGGCGGCCAUUUAAGUCAGCGGUUAAAUCGUGGGGCUCAACCCCAUUCUGCCGUUGAUACUGGGUGGCUUGAUUGCGGUCGAGGUUGGCGGAAUUCGUUGUGUAGCGGUGAAAUGCAUAGAUAUGACGAAGAACACCGAUUGCGUAGGCAGCUGACCAGAUCGCAAAUGACGCUCAUGCACGAAAGUGCGGGGAUCGAACAGGAUUAGAUACCCUGGUAGUCCGCACAGUAAACGAUGAAUACUUGUUUUCGGCGAUAUAAUGUCGGAGGCAAAGCGAAAGCGAUAAGUAUUCCACCUGGGGAGUCCGCCGGCAACGGUGAAACUUAAAGGAAUUGACGGGG
rnacentral:rRNA from 1 species